GCUCUCCAUCUUGUCCAAGUCGUCGGCUGGUGAGUGCCGAGCGCUGCCCAAGCCCAGAGAGCCUCCGUCCAGCUCAAACUUCUCCAGCAAGGGGCUGCUCUGGCUGCCCAACUGGGCUGGGGCCAGCCCGCGGCCGGGGCCAGCGUAGGGGUCCUUGUCCAGCACAGGGACGCCGGCAGGGCUGCUGUUUGGGAAGUGAGUCAAGCCAAGGCGAGCUGGGCCAGCCCCAGGGCUCAGGAGGGUCUGGCCUGAUUUCAGGGUCAGCCCGAGGGAGACAGAGAUUUUAUCUGUGCCCUGCAGGGCCUCCGACUUGAUGGGGACUGGGAGCCGCUCAGGGCCGCCGGCAGUGAACUGGCAGGGAGACGUCUUCAGGCAACCGUCCUCCAGCUUGGGCUUGACAUCGGCAGGCAGUGCACCCGCCUUCACCUCCAGGCCCUGCGUCUUGAAGGUCGGGUCAGGGGCCAGCGCGGUGCCUGGUGGGACAGGAGCAGGCGUCAAGCCCACCCCCACCACCAGCCCUUCCUUGGGUGCUUCUCGAUCCUCCGCAGCUGGGGCCAUGUCCUUGCUGUCCCCGGGGUCAGGGAGCUUCAAGCUGGGUACCGAUGGCUCUGUCUUGAGCUGGGCCUCACGCUCGGCCUUCUCGUUAGCCGACUCAACCAGGCGGAGGUGCUCGUUGAAGAUGUCCUUCUUGUCACCGGUGUCCAGCUCAGGGUCCGUGUAGGCCAGCAGGUCGAACUCGUCGCCGUUCAACAGGUCGUCAAGGUGGGGGUCUGCCGUCUCCAGGCUGUCCAGGUUGUCCAGGUCGUCGUCCCCUUUAGCCACGUCGGGGUCCAGGCUCAGGUUGGCCAAAUCGUCAUCGUCUUCCAGGUCCUUGUGAGAGCCGAAGUCGUCAUCCAAAUCAGGCUCUACUGGGACCUCGCAGGGCAGCCGCCCUCCUUCCAGGCUCAGAUGGCUCUUGCCCGGAGCCGGAGCUGGCGCAGGGUCUGGCGCAGGGCUGUCCUUGGGGCCCUCGGGGCGGAGGGCAGUGCUGGAGGCCAGCGGGCGCGGGGGAACAUGCUGCAGCUCCAGGCUGGGCNNNN
rnacentral:lncRNA from 1 species